CAUUUGCUUGUGUUCUAGGUCUUCUCGCAUCCAUGAUAGCUUCAACGAUGGUGAGCCAGAGCUACAUUUGGGCCUAUGCAUCGUUCCAAUUUGCACUUGUGAUCCUCUUUGCUCAUGUUUUCUAUAGUGUGCUAGGAGUAAGCCCUGUGUUCUCCAUUUUACUUUCCUCAUUUACUGGGUUUGGUAUUUCAAUCAGUAUGAACUCUUUGCUCAUUGAGUAUUUAAGAUGGAGGGCUAGGAGAACUUUAC